UUGAAAGGGAAACGAUUGAAGUCAGUCGUACCCUCGGGUAAUCAGCCUUUUGGGUGUGAUUUUGUGGAGUGUGAGGAGUUAAACGCCUUCAUGCCUGCAUAUUCGUGCACUUUGGGUGUAUUUGCCCGUGUGGUAAGUUAACAUCAAUUUUGGUGGUCAUAAAAUGGCUGGAGGAAUGUAGCUUCGAUCUCGUAUUGAAGUGUUAUAGCCUUCGGUAGAUGUGAUUAUCGGGAUUGAGGAUUGCAACGGAUACCCUUCGGGCUACCUGUCUGAUCUCUGAUCGUUGCUCUGGUGCCGAAAGCUUGCUUACGGUUAUCAAAGUCGAUGGUCAAUAGGUUAGAACGGGUUAAAUUCGUUAAGGAUGUUGACGUA
rnacentral:rRNA from 1 species